AUUGAACGCUGGCGGCAUGCUUUACACAUGCAAGUCGAACGGUAACAGGGAGCUUGCUCCGCUGACGAGUGGCGAACGGGUGAGUAAUGCGUCGGAACGUGCCGAGUAGUGGGGGAUAACGCAUCGAAAGGUGUGCUAAUACCGCAUACGUACUGAGGUAGAAAGUGGGGGACCUUCGGGCCUCACGCUAUUCGAGCGGCCGACGUCUGAUUAGCUAGUUGGUGAGGUAAAGGCUCACCAAGGCGACGAUCAGUAGCGGGUCUGAGAGGAUGGUCCGCCACACUGGGACUGAGACACGGCCCAGACUCCUACGGGAGGCAGCAGUGGGGAAUUUUGGACAAUGGGCGCAAGCCUGAUCCAGCCAUGCCGCGUGUCUGAAGAAGGCCUUCGGGUUGUAAAGGACUUUUGUUCGGGAGCAAAUGCCUGGUGUUAAUAGCACUGGGAGCUGAGAGUACCGGAAGAAUAAGCACCGGCUAACUACGUGCCAGCCGCCGCGGUAACAC
rnacentral:rRNA from 1 species